GUCCAACUCCUUCAAUUCUCUUCUUUUUAGUUUUCUUCUUUUCCUCGUGGACCAUCUCCCUCACUCAUCCCCUAACCUAAUCUCCCUCACUCAUCGCGUAACCUAAUUGUUGUGGGGUGCUACCGCCCUUGCAAAUAUCAUUGAGAGACCAUCUCCCUCACUCAACCCCUAACCUAAUCGUUGUGGACUGCUACCUCCCCUGCAAACGGUGACACCAAUUAGAGACCAUCUUCCUCAAUCCCUAACCUAAUCGUUGUGGAGUGCUACCUCCCCUGCAAACAUCGGUGGCACCAAUUAGAUUUAGAGACCAUCUCCCUCACUCAACCCCUAACCUAAUCAUUGUGGAGUGCUACCUCCCCUACAAACAUCGUCGGCACCAAUUAGAAGACGAACAUAUAUGCAGAUAUGGACGAGGACGCACCUCCUCAAAAAAGACUCAAAGCACCAGAAGUUGCAAUUAAGGUUCAAAUGCAGGGGAUUGCAGUCGUUCGUGCUGUGAAUUUGACCACAUUGGAUGGGUAUGAUCAACUUGUAGAUGAAUUGGAGAAGAUGUUUGACAUAAAGGGACAACUUCAAAACAAGAAUAAGUGGGUAGUUCUCUACGCUGAUGAUGAUGGAGAUACGAUUCUUGUUGGUGAUGAGCCAUGGCCUGAAUUCUGUCAAGUGGUGAGAAGAAUCUUAAUUUGUUCUAGUCAGGCUGUGCACUAUUGAGCUUAAGGAGCAAACUGUGGUUAUCUUUUCUUUAGAAGAGUAUGUAAUAAGCUCAAACAACACAACUAUAAGACUUGAAACUUCUACAUUAUUAUUGUCCUUUCUAUGUUUUUGUUAGUUCUUAUUGUUGUUGCUUUUAUUUCUUAUUUGAGUUGAGGUAAUAAGGAUGUUAGUUUAUUUUCGACUAGGCAAGUUUCAUGUUUGAUGUGAAACAUUGGUUAAUUGUAGCUUAAUUUAUAUUCUCUAGACAUUAAUUGGGUUCGAAACAUCAAAUUGAAUGUUUUAAUAAA